rnacentral:rRNA from 1 species
CCUAGGGCUGCUCCAGUGAGGAAUAUUGCACAAUGGGGGGAACCCUGAUGCAGCAACGCCGCGUGGAGGAUGACGCAUUUCGGUGUGUAAACUCCUUUUAUAUGUCAAGAAAAUGACGGUAGCAUAUGAAUAAGCACCGGCUAACUCCGUGCCAGCAGCCGCGGUAAUACGGAGGGUGCAAGCGUUACUCGGAAUCACUGGGCGUAAAGGACGCGUAGGCGGGUUGGAAAGUCAGGUGUGAAAUCCUACAGCUUAACUGUAGAACUGCACUUGAAACUUCUAAUCUAGAGUAUGGGAGGGGGAGAUGGAAUUAGUGGUGUAGGGGUAAAAUCCGUAGAUAUCACUAGGAAUACCUAAAGCGAAGGCGAUCUCCUGGAACAUUACUGACGCUAAGGCGUGAAAGCGUGGGGAGCAAACAGGAUUAGAUACCCGAGUAGUC